UACGUAGGGCGCAAGCGUUGUCCGGAAUUAUUGGGCGUAAAGAGCUCGUAGGCGGUUUGUCGCGUCUGCUGUGAAAUCCCGAGGCUCAACCUCGGGCUUGCAGUGGGUACGGGCAGACUAGAGUGCGGUAGGGGAGACUGGAAUUCCUGGUGUAGCGGUGGAAUGCGCAGAUAUCAGGAGGAACACCGAUGGCGAAGGCAGGUCUCUGGGCCGAUACUGACGCUGAGGAGCGAAAGCGUGGGGAGCGAACAGG
rnacentral:rRNA from 1 species